UACAUAGACUGCAAGCGUUAUUCGGAUUCACUGGGCGUAAAGGGUGCGUAGGCGGUCGGGUAAGUCUGAUGUGAAAUCUCACAGCUUAACUGUGAAACUGCAUUGGAUACUAUCCGGCUCGAGGAAUGGAGGGGAGACUGGAAUACUUGGUGUAGCAGUGAAAUGCGUAGAUAUCAAGUGGAACACCAGUGGCGAAGGCGAGUCUCUGGACAUUUCCUGACGCUGAGGCACGAAAGCCAGGGGAGCAAACGGG
rnacentral:rRNA from 1 species